rnacentral:rRNA from 1 species
AGAGCGAACGCUGGCGGCAGGCUUAACACAUGCAAGUCGAGCGCCCCGCAAGGGGAGCGGCAGACGGGAGAGUAACACGUGGGAACAUACCUUUUGGUUCGGAACAACUGAGGGAAACUUCAGCUAAUACCGGAUAAGCCCUUACGGGGAAAGAUUUAUCGCCGAAAGAUUGGCCCGCGUCUGAUUAGCUAGUUGGUGAGGUAAUGGCUCACCAAGGCGACGAUCAGUAGCUGGUCUGAGAGGAUGAUCAGCCUCAUUGGGACUGAGACACGGCCCAAACUCCUACGGGAGGCAGCAGUGGGGAAUAUUGGACAAUGGGCGCAAGCCUGAUCCAGCCAUGCCGCGUGAGUGAUGAAGGCCUUAGGGUUGUAAAGCUCUUUCGUUGGGAAGAUAAUGACGGUACCAAAGAGAGCCCGGCUAACUCGCGCCAGCAGCCGC